GGAGUGGCCGAUGCCUGAUUAGCUAGUUGGUGGGGUAAAGGCCUACCAAGGCGACGAUCAGUAGUUGGUCUGAGAGGACGGCCAGCCACACUGGGACUGAGACACGGCCCAGACUCCUACGGGAGGCAGCAGUGGGGAAUUUUGGACAAUGGGCGAAAGCCUGAUCCAGCAAUGCCGCGUGAGUGAAGAAGGCCUUCGGGUUGUAAAGCUCUUUCAGUCGAGAAGAAAAGGUUGUGAUUAAUAAUCGCAAUUUAUGACGGUAUCGACAGAAGAAGCACCGGCUAACUACGUGCCAGCAGCCGCGGUAAUACGUAGGGUGCGAGCGUUAAUCGGAAUUACUGGGCGUAAAGGGUGCGCAGGAGGCUUUGUAAGUCAGAUGUGAAAGCCCCGGG
rnacentral:rRNA from 1 species